AGGGCCGAUGGCUCAAUAGUGGAGUGCCUGCCUGGCAUGCAAGAGGUCCCAGGUUGAAUCCCUGGCAGCUCUA
rnacentral:tRNA from 1 species